AUUGAACGCUGGCGGCAGGCCUAACACAUGCAAGUCGAACGAGUGGCGGACGGGUGAGUAAUGUCUGGGAAACUGCCCGAUGGAGGGGGAUAACUACUGGAAACGGUAGCUAAUACCGCAUACCAUCGGAUGUGCCCAGAUGGGAUUAGCUUGUAGGUGAGGUAACGGCUCACCUAGGCGACGAUCCCUAGCUGGUCUGAGAGGAUGACAAGCGACACUGGAACGGAGACACGGUCCAGGCUCCUCUGGUGGGGAGCAGGGGGGAAGAUUGCACAAUGUGCGCAAGCCUGAUGCAGCUAUGCCGCGUGUAUGAAGAAGGCCUUCGUGUUUUAAAGUACUUGCAGCGGGGAGGCGUUACCCGCAGAAGAAGCACCGGCUAACUCCGUGCCAGCAGCCGCGGUAAUAC
rnacentral:rRNA from 1 species